GAUUGCAUAUUUACCUUACCCUCUCUGUAAUCGCGGCUG
rnacentral:ncRNA from 1 species